AGUGAACGCUGGCGGUAGGCCUAACACAUGCAAGUCGAACGGCAGCACAGUAAGAGCUUGCUCUUACGGGUGGCGAGUGGCGGACGAGUGAGGAAUACAUCGGAAUCUACUUUUUCGUGGGUGAUAACGUAGGGAAACUUACGCUAAUACCGCAUACGACCUACGGGUUAAAGCAGGGGAUCUUCGGACCUUUCGCGUUUCAAUUAGCCGAUGUCGGAUUAGCUAGUUGGCGGGGUAAAGGCCCACCAAGGCGACGAUCCGUAGCUUGUCUGAGAGGAUGAUCAGCCACACUGGAACUGAGACACGGUCCAGACUCCUACGGGAGGCAGCAGUGGGGAAUAUUGGACAAUGGGCGCAAGCCUGAUCGAGCAAUACCGCGUGGGUGAAGAAGGCCUUCGGGUUGUAAAGCCCUUUUGUUGGGAAAGAAAAGAAGCAGGUUAAUACCCCGCUGUUAUGACGGUACCCAAAGAAUAAGCACCGGCUAACUUCGUG
rnacentral:rRNA from 1 species